UACGGGGGGGGCAAGCGUUGUUCGGAAUUACUGGGCGUAAAGGGCUCGUAGGUGGCCAACUAAGUCGGACGUGAAAUCCCUCGGCUUAACCGGGGAACUGCAUCCGAUACUGGAUGGCUUGAGUUCGGGAGAGGGAUGUGGAAUUCCAGGUGUAGCGGUGAAAUGCGUAGAUAUCUGGAGGAACACCGGUGGCGAAAGCGCUCAUCUGGCCCAAUACUGACGCUGAGGCGCGAAAGCUAGGGGAGCAAACAGG
rnacentral:rRNA from 1 species